CCUACGGGAGGCAGCAGUGGGGAAUCUUGCGCAAUGGGCGAAAGCCUGACGCAGCGACGCCGCGUGCGGGAAGAAGGCCUUCGGGUUGUAAACCGCUUUCAGGAGGGACGAAGCUACUCGGGUGAAUAGCCCAGAGGGUGACGGUACCUCCAGAAGAAGCCCCGGCUAACUACGUGCCAGCAGCCGCGGUAAU
rnacentral:rRNA from 1 species